rnacentral:rRNA from 1 species
UACAGAGGUCCCAAGCGUUGUUCGGAUUCAUUGGGCGUAAAGGGUGCGUAGGUGGCGCCGUAAGUCGGGUGUGAAAUUUCGGAGCUUAACUCCGAAACUGCAUUCGAUACUGCGGUGCUUGAGGACUGGAGAGGAGACUGGAAUUCAUGGUGUGGCAGUGAAAUGCGUAGAGAUCAUGAGGAAGACCAGUGGCGAAGGCGGGUCUCUGGACAGUUCCUGACGCUGAGGCACGAAGGCCAGGGGAGCAAACGGG